rnacentral:rRNA from 1 species
CGAAGAACCUUACCUGGUCUUGACAUAGUAAGAACUUUCCAGAGAUGGAUUGGUGCCUUUCGGGAACUUUACAUACAGGUGCUGCAUGGCUGUCGUCAGCUCGUGUCGUGAGAUAGUUGGGUUAAGUCCCGCAACGAGCGCAACCCUUUUCCUUAUUUGCCAGCGGGUUAAGCCGGGAACUUUAAGGAUACUGCCAGUGACAAACUGGAGGAAGGCGGGGACGACGUCAAGUCAUCAUGGCCCUUACGACCAGGGCUACACACGUGCUACAAUGGUCGGUACAAAGGGUUGCUACCUCGCGAGAGGAUGCUAAUCUCAAAAAGCCGAUCGUAGUCCGGAUUGGAGUCUGCAACUCGACUCCAUGAAGUCGGAAUCGCUAGUAAUCGCGGAUCAGAAUGCCGCGGUGAAUACGUUCCCGGGCCUUGUACACACCGCCCGUCACACCAUGGGAGUUUGUUGCACCAGAAGUAGGUAGUCUAACCUUAGGGGGGACGCUUACCACGGUGUGGCAGAUGACUGGGGUGAAGUCGUAACAAGGUAAGCGUAGAUGA